UCCGUAGGUGAACCUGCGGAAGGAUCAUUACUGAUUUGCUUAAUUGCACCACAUGUGUUUUGUUCUGGACAAACUUGCUUUGGCGGUGGGCCCCUGCCUGCCGCCAGAGGACAUAAACUUACAACCAAAUUUUUUAUAAACUUGUCACGAGAUUAUUUUUAAUAGUCAAAACUUUCAACAACGGAUCUCUUGGUUCUCGCAUCGAUGAAGAACGCAGCGAAAUGCGAUACGUAAUAUGAAUUGCAGAUAUUCGUGAAUCAUCGAAUCUUUGAACGCACAUUGCGCCCUCUGGUAUUCCGGAGGGCAUGCCUGUUUGAGCGUCGUUUCUCCCUCAAACCCCUAGGGUUUGGUGUUGAGCAAUACGACUUGGGUUUGCUUGAAAGAUGAUAGUGGUAUAAGGCGGAGAUGCUUGACAAUGGCUUAGGUGUAACCAAAAACAUUGCUAAGGCGGUCUCUGGCGUCGCCCAUUUUAUUCUUCAAACUUUGACCUCAAAUCAGGUAGGACUACCCGCUGAACUUAAGCAUAUCAAUAAGCGGAGGAAAAGA
rnacentral:sRNA from 1 species